UUGAGAAAAAAAUGUUAGAAGAAAAUGCAAUAUAGAAGAGGAGAGUUUCCCAUGGUCUCUUCCUCUUUUGAAAUAAUCAUCUCUUUUAUUCAGUCCAAGACAGCCUUCCAGAAGAUGUGGCCCAGUCUUGCCUGCCUUUCUGGACAACUUGUGCCACAGAUUUUUCAUCUCUAAAUAACCCAUACAUAUAUAUAGAUGAAACUGUGGUGGAAUGUGCUCUUCUGUUGUACUUUUCCUCAUUUUGAACCUGAAGGUGUGUUUGGAGAACUCCAAAAGAGACGUACUGAGAUCAUCUGCUGGUUGCUGGAAGAUGCUGGCUUCAAAAACAAAGAGAAGUGCUGCUUUCCUUCACACAGAAAAUUCUUCCCACUAGAUGGAAGGGAUAAACUAAUAUGUAGCAAAUAAACUGCCUGCCUAAUUCUGAUCCCCACCUCUCCCAGGUGCAUAAUGAAAAAUGGAUUGGUAAUAUUUUUUCUGCUUAUAUAGACCUGGGGCUUUGAUCUUCCAGUGGGAUGAGAAGCAAAGUCCAUGAGGAACAGAAAAAAAUUAAUGAGGUGCCAUGGGGUCAAGUCAGUCUCCCCCUGCUGAUUGUGGUACUUGUGUGGAUUAGGAAGUACAUUAGAGGGUGAGAGAGCCUUCCAGGAAUGGCUGUCCCAGCAGGACAGUGGGUACACUUGGGAGAGGUUGCCUCUGACCUUUAGGCAUGAUGUGUGGAUCAGCAGAGUGUUUUUGAAGAAAAUGUCCUGUUCCUACUUCCCAGGGUUUGUUUUGCAUCGUGGAGCAGUGUCAGGGUGUAUGAACUGGCCUCUCUUUUUGCUGCUACCAAAGGAUGGAAGCACCUCAGGAGAGCUGGAGGUCCAAAUGGGCAUUUGUUCCCUGGGACCAGAGCUGAGCUAGACCUUGUAAAGACAAGACACCCAGAAGGGUGCACAGGGUACCCAGUACAGAUAUGGCCAGUGUAAACUUCUCUCUUUGGCUGUUAUUGCUCCCUGCACCCAACCCCAAGGCUGUCAUAGGGACCUGGAGGCUGGAGGAUGACUCAGAGCUGACCCUGCCAAGAGAGCACUCUUGGAGGCUGCUGUUCCUCUGGGAGAGAUGUGGUUGGGGCUAGAGAGAGCCUGGCAUGAGGUUAUGGCUUGACUUCUCA
rnacentral:lncRNA from 1 species